AUCAACACGCUUCAACUAAUCCUCCCACUCUUCCCUCUUCUUGCUCUGUAACUGAUAACGGAAGAAAUCACUACACGCAAAGCAGCACAAUAUUGAAACUAUUGAAUACAAUCAAGAAGCCAUUUACCGAUUGGAUCUAACGUCAUGGCUCACUGGAUCUCUUCCAAGCUCAAAGCCCCUGAAACUCUUCUCCAUCAGAUCGAUCGUUAAGCUGCAGAAUCACUGGGUCAAAUUGAGAAGCCACGAUUUGAUGAACAAUUAGGUCUUGAAACCCCGCCAAAGAUGGGGUAAACUAGGUCAUUGAUUAAGUAGCAUGUUAAAAAAAAGGUGCCUGAAAAUGUCAGCGAGAACAAUAAUUUAAAAUGUAACUGGUCGCAGUGAUAGUAAUAUUAAACGGGAUGAUGAUGUUGGAGUAUCAGUGAAUUUGAACUCGAAGUCAAAUUCGAGGAGGGGACUUACAAAUCCUGAUGGUGAUUGGACGGAAUUAUUGAGCGUGCCAAAUAGAAAUGUAGCAUCCAUGGGGUGUGAGUGGGAAUCAGAGUAGCAUUGGAGCGUUGGGGAUUAGGGGUUUGAAGAAAGAUGGUAUGAAACGAGGGAGAUUGAGGUCGAAGGUAUUAGAGGGGAAAAGGAUUGAGAAUGGACGGAAUAAUAGUGUUCUGUAUGGUUCAAGAAAAUCUAAUGUUGAGUUGGAGGGUAACGCAAAUGGUGGUGGUAGUUCGGAUAGUGGGAUGGCAAGUUACUCAGAAGGUGCAAUGUGAAAAACUUCGAUUUCCAAAUUUCAGAGCGAGGGAGGUGAAUCAGAUCGAAAGGACAUAAGUGAUGCACUUGUGCCUGAUAACAACUAUGAGGCAGAUACGGGGAAAAAUGAUGAGGUGAAUGGCAAUGGAGAUGGAGAGAAGCUACGUUCUACAGAUGGUUUGACCAGUAAAGAUCAUCUCAUGGAGAUGGUGCCAGCUUCUUUUUUGAUAGGAAAUUGAAUAUGAAGUUUCAAAUGAAGAGCAGUGAGAGGUUUAAGAGUGGAAUGUUAAAGAACAAUAAAUCAAAAGUGGGUUCCAGAAGUACAAGUUCUAUGAAGAAAGAUUCUUCUUCCCCAAGGGACGAAGAAUCUGAUUCUGAGACAGAUACAACUUCAUCUUCAGAUCCAGAGAGAGAACGCGAGAGGGCAGAAAGGAUAAAAGAUGGCAGCAGAUUCUGGCAGAAAGAGUAGCUGCCAAAGCAGUUGAGGCUAUCAAAGAUCAUGAUAACCUGGUUGCUAAAUUGGAGGGGGAGAAACAGAGUUUAGAGAAAAUACUUGAAGAUCCGGCCAAACAGCAAGUACAGGAGCUUCAGAAUUGCAUACAUCAAUGAUGGAGAUUAUGGAAGCUGCUGAUUUAGAGAAGCGAAAACAUAACAAUACACGUAUGGAAGCAGUGUCACACGUAUGGAAGCACUUAUGAGACUGUCAAAACUUGCGACUGCGAAUGCCGACCUUGCAAGUUCUUUUGUUGCUGCACAGAAAAAACCUUGAAACAGAGGUACUUGAAAACCUCUGUAGUUGUUUAUUGUGUUGCAUUUUUCCUUUGCUCUCUCUCUCGCUCUGCCCCCCCACCCCCC